rnacentral:rRNA from 1 species
GAUGAACGCUGGCGGCGUGCUUAACACAUGCAAGUCGAACGGAAAGGCCAGUGCUUGCACUGGUACUCGAGUGGCGAACGGGUGAGUAACACGUGGGUGAUCUGCCCUGCACUUCGGGAUAAGCCUGGGAAACUGGGUCUAAUACCGGAUAGGACAAUGGUUUGGAUGCCGUUGUGGAAAGUUUUUUCGGUGUGGGAUGAGCUCGCGGCCUAUCAGCUUGUUGGUGGGGUAAUGGCCUACCAAGGCGUCGACGGGUAGCCGGCCUGAGAGGGUGUACGGCCACAUUGGGACUGAGAUACGGCCCAGACUCCUACGGGAGGCAGCAGGGGGGAAUAUUGCACAAUGGGCGCAAGCCUGAUGCAGCGACGCCGCGUGGGGGAUGACGGCCUUCGGGUUGUAAACUCCUUUCGCUAGGGACGAAGCGUAUUUGUGACGGUACCUGGAGAAGAAGCACCGGCUAACUACGUG